UGGGGAAUAUUGCACAAUGGGGGAAACCCUGAUGCAGCGACGCCGCGUGAACGAAGAAAGUAUUCGUAUCGUAAAGUUCUGUCCUAUGGGAAGAUAAUGACAGUACCAUAGAAGAAAGCUCCGGCUAAAUACGUGCCAGCAGCCGCGGUAAUACGUAUGGAGCGAGCGUUGUCCGGAAUUAUUGGGCGUAAAGGGUACGCAGGCGGUUUAAUAAGUCGAAUGUGAAAGAUCGGGGCUCAACCCCGCAAAGCAUUGGAAACUGAUAAACUUGAGUAGUGGAGAGGAAAGUGGAAUUCCUAGUGUAGUGGUGAAAUACGUAGAUAUUAGGAGGAAUACCAGUAGCGAAGGCGACUUUCUGGACACAAACUGACGCUGAGGUACGAAAGCGUGGGGAGCAAACAGG
rnacentral:rRNA from 1 species